AACUUUACCUGGAAGGAGCGAUAGCAUCAUCAUGAAGGUGGGUUUCCCAGGGCAAGGCUUAUCUGUUGCUCUCCAGAUGUAUUGACUCCUGUGGUUUCCCCAAAUGUGGAACACUCAACUGCAUAAUUUGUGGUAGUGGGGGACUGUGUUCAUGCUCUCUCCUG
ensembl:snRNA U1 U1 spliceosomal RNA